rnacentral:rRNA from 1 species
GAUGAACGCUAGCGGCAGGCUUAAUACAUGCAAGUCGAGGGACAGCACAGGUAGCAAUACUGGGUGGUAACCGGCAAACGGGUGCGGAACACGUACACAACCUUCCUUUAAGUGGGGGAUAGCCCAGAGAAAUUUGGAUUAAUACCCCGUAAUAUAGUUGAAUGGCAUCAUUUGAUUAUUAUAGCUACGGCGCUUAAUGAUGGGUGGGCGGCUGAUUAGAUAGUUGGCGGGGUAACGGCCCACCAAGUCUACGAUCAGUAGCUGAUGUGAGAGCAUGAUCAGCCACACGGGCACUGAGACACGGGCCCGACUCCUACGGGAGGCAGCAGUAAGGAAUAUUGGUCAAUGGACGCAAGUCUGAACCAGCCAUGCCGCGUGAAGGAUUAAGGUCCUCUGGAUUGUAAACUUCUUUUAUUUGGGACGAAAAAGGGCCUUUCUAGGUCAACUGACGGUACCAGAUGAAUAAGCACCGGCUAACUCCGUGCCAGCCGCCGCGGUAA